AAGAGUUGCUCAUGCUUCUCCGGCUCGUUUUUCAAACUCUUAUCUUCAAGUGGCCUCUCUGAGUUGUACUUUUAAAAAAUAAGUCA
rnacentral:misc_RNA from 1 species